GACGAACCGUGCGAACGUUGUUCGGAAUCACUGGGCUUAAAGGGCGCGUAGGCGGCUCGACAAGUCGGGGGUGAAAUCUUUCGGCUCAACCGGAAAAGGGCCUCCGAUACUGUCGAGCUCGAGGGAGGUAGGGGCGGACGGAACUUCCGGUGGAGCGGUGAAAUGCGUUGAUAUCAUUAGGAACACCGGUGGCGAAGGCGGCUUACUGGGUCUUUUCUGACGCUGAGGCACGAAAGCCAGGGGAGCGAACGGG
rnacentral:rRNA from 1 species